GGAAAACCUUCAGUCUCUCUUGAAAUCUGGAAACAUCUGGUUCUUUCGUUUAAUGACCUUGACAAGGCUACUGAAGGCUGAGAAACUACAAUCCUGUUUCGAUUUUCAUUUCAGACGCAACAAGGUAUCAUUUUCUGUCGCGUGGUAACAGAACGAAGUCCCAAAUUCCCUUACUUGGAUUCCUUGCCUUCUCAAUUCGAUGGAGUGAAGGCGCUAAAUCGACGAGGUGACACUCCCAUUGUGCCGAUCUUGGGUGGCUUAAUCUUCCAAUAUCUCCAUGCCUUUUGGAACAAUUCCGAAAUUGCUGACUAUAAACUGAAUUUCCCAUGCUGGACCACAUGGUGCAGGCUCAACCACAAGCUCUUGUAUUGAAAAAACUUUCACCCAGGUGCUAUGUAGAGUCGGAUCCAUCAACUUGUUGCCACAAUGAUGAUCUGU